AUACUCACCUGGCAGGAGAGACACUAUGAUCAUGAAGGUGGUUUCCCCAAAGCGAGGCUCAUUCAUUGCACUCUGAGUGUGCUGGCCCCUCUGAUUUCCUCAAAUAUGGGGAACUCAACUGCAUGAUUUGUGGUAGUGGGGGACUGCAUUCGCACU